GACAGAGGGGGCGAGAGCUCUGCGGAGUCACUGGGCGUAAAGCGUACGUAGGCGGCUGGUCAAGUCUGGGGUCAAAGGCCACAGCUCAACUGUGGGAAGGCCCUGGAAACUGACCGGCUAGAGUGAGGUAGGGGUUGCGGGAAUUCCCGGUGUAGCGGUGAAAUGCGUAGAGAUCGGGAAGAACACCUGAGGCGAAGGCGCGCAACUGGGCCCUAACUGACGCUGAGGCACGAAAGUUAGGGGAGCGAACGGG
rnacentral:rRNA from 1 species